rnacentral:lncRNA from 1 species
CAUAUAAUAAGGGCAUCUGUUUGGAAACAUUUCUCUUUAUAACUGGACGUUUUCUCCACAGACUUCUUCAUAAACUACAGCGACAAGUGUUUUUCUGCCACAGUCAUUAGCAUUAUUUUCCAUGAAGAACAUAGUUUUUACUUCAAACUGUAUUGCAUUGCAUAGUUUUUUUAAAUCCCUGGUCCCAGAGGGCCACACUACAGCACCUGCAAUGUGAGGACCCCUAGGACCAGUAGUGAAGAGCACUGAAAUACUUCUACAGUUACGACAAAGCAAAUUCUAAAGUCCAUUUAAAAAUGUGCAUCAGGGCCAUGUUCUAUGUGCAUCAAGGCACUGUCCUUAAUGCACGUGAUGAAAUGUGUCAUUUCUUGCACACUCUUUAAACAUAGUUAUGUAGGGCACCCUUUAGAGGUGGUCGACUAGACUCUCUGUCCAGCCUGCUGAUCAGGACGGAUGUGGUGUGGAGUUCAGUUAGAAACAGGAAGCUCGUUCUACUCUCCCCCUUAACAGCUCUGUCACAGCAGCCUGUCUGUAAGUGGAGCUGUCAGUGUGAUGGAGGUGGCCUGAAGAGGCUUUACUAAAGGUGAGAACAACACAAUACAUGUACUUCUAUUGUCUCAUGUUUAAGAGUGUAGGAGCAGUUUGGUUGGGGAAAGAUAGACUAUUUGAAGGGGUUCAAUUUUCGACACAUUAUGUUGUGUUAUUUUCAUCAUCACACUAAGGUGAAGAUUGAUUUAAUUAUAUUCAUAGCUUUCAAUAAUGUACCACUUUGUACCACUUCAGAAGUCUGUUUUGAAAUGUCAAAAAGAUCAACCAGCAAUCAUGGAUGAUGUUCAGAUGUGUGAUGUGUGAAAAAGAGUAUGAUAAAGUUGAGUACAAUUAAAACAAUGUAACUAUUUCUGUUUAACUGUAUACAUAAGCCUAAAUGUUUUAAAGCUGAAAGUGUUCUUAUCUUCUGAUGCAGAUACUGUAUCACUGAACUAACAGGGGUGUAUUGAAUAUAAUACCAUUAUCAUUUUUUCUUGAAAACUGUCAAGACUUGACACAAUGGCAUUUGGCACAAUGGCAUUUGGCACAAUGGCAUUAGUGCUAUGAUGACCACACACAUUAUGUGGUUAUCUAUAGCAUUAGGUUCUUUACAGGAACACAGCAAUUUAUACCAAGUGGGGGGUUUUCUACAGUCUUUUUAAGACAACAUUAGGUGAGCAGGACAUUUGUGCCGUUACAGCUGAAUAAGGAACAAGUUUGGCCAACCCCUGUGGAAGAGAGAAAGCAGUAAUACAUUCUAAUAGUGAUACCAAACAAAUAUUCUAAGUUCUUUUUAGUAAAGUGAAAAACAGCAGUAAGCAACUGUUCUUGGUGAAUUACUUAUACAGACGAAAACUAUGGAG